rnacentral:rRNA from 1 species
CCUACGGGGGGCUGCAGUGGGGAAUAUUGCACAAUGGGGGAAACCCUGAUGCAGCGACGCCGCGUGAGUGAAGAAGUAUUUCGGUAUAUAAAGCUCUAUCAGCAGGGAAGAAAUAAAGUCCUUCGGACUUUGGACGGUACCUGACUAAGAAGCCCCUGCUAACUACGUGCCAGCCGCCGCGGUAAUACGUAGGGUGCCAGCGUUAUACGGAUUUACUGGGUGUAAAGGGAGCGUAGACGGAAGCGCAAGUCUGGAGUGAAAUCCCAUGGCUUAACCAUGGAACUGCUUUGGAAACUGUGCAGCUGGAGUGCAGGAGAGGUAAGCGGAAUUCCUAGGGUAGCGGUGAAAUGCGUAGAUAUUAGGAGGAACACCAGUGGCGAAGGCGGCUUACUGGACUGUAACUGACGUUGAGGCUCGAAAGCGUGGGGAGCAAACAGGAUUAGAUACCCUUGUAGUC